UUGUCUUCCUACUUCCUUUCAUAGGUAAGAUAUAUUUCUACGGCUUAUUUAAGCCUCACAUAAAGUUAUGUAGCAUGCUUUUCUUUACCUUGCCCAACACUCACAAUAAGAAAUCAUAAAAUCUGCAACAUUAUUUUAGAGGUAUUUUUUAAAAUUACCAAGAAAGAACACUCUGUCCCAUAUUGUGAUAAAUAAUCUAGUAUUAGUUUGUCGCUCAUCUUUAUUUGUCUUAAUAAGCCAAAAAUACUCUUCAAAUACAUGACUAAUUGACACAAAAUAAGAAUACCGGUUAAGAGUAUACAUUAAUACCAAGUUUAACUUAAACCUUAAAUAAGGAUGCACA
rnacentral:lncRNA from 1 species